AACAAAAUCCACAAUUGUCAAGCAAACAGCUGAGUUUGAUUAAAAUGAAGGCUGCAGCUGCCUAUAUUUUGAUCUGCUUGAGAAACUUCACCUGUUCAUAGCUGAAUUAGCCUUUGAAAAGGUAAUUUGCAGGUUCAGCAAACUGAGGGCAGAAUUUUAUUUCUGAGUAGUGAGCCCAAAGGAUGGUGGAGUAGGAUAGCCAGCCCCAAAUAUACAGAAUUAAUGAGUCCAUCCCCCUAAAACCAUGAGCUUGGGUUAAAACUUAUGAGAUUAAAAACAAACAAACAAACAAACAAAAAGCAUGUUCAUUUUUUUCUUUGCCUUUUGGAUUCUGAGCCUUUAGAAUGUGUUUUUUUUUUCUUCAUGUUUUCAAGCUUUUUUUCUGCAACCAUGAACGUUACAGACUUUUGUUUUUUUUAAAUGAAAGCUGAUAUUCUCAUACAGGCUCACGAGUCCAGUAGUAAGGAAGGACUUCAAGAAAACAGUAAAAAAAUCACAAGCUCAAUGCAUAGAGGCCGCUCAAGACAAUCUGCUAUGCUGAGCAGCACUGGUGGAGACUGGGGUUUCCAUAGUGCCCAUUGCUGUUCCAUGGAAGCAUUGAACGGGUGAAUUAGAUUUGUGCUGCAAGGUCUGUUGUGAACAUUAGUGAGUCAUCUGCUCUUCCCAUUUUCUAGAGAGCUCUGUUUGUGGGUAUAUAUGUUAGCAGAGGUUUUGCAGAGUUGCCUAGCAGUCUUAGAUGCCCCAUUGCAUGUUCAGCUUUGAAAGCCUCAGCCAAUGCAUAUUUGCAUCCUUCCAGUUAUGCUGUGGCUCCUCCCCCUCCCUGGCCUCCAGACCCUGGAUCAUGUGGCUGUUCUCCUUGCACAGCCUGGGAGCGAGCAUUUUAAUACAAAUCCCGUUCCUGGGAAGGAGAUCAGCUUUCAGGCCUGGAGUUAUACCAGUAAGUAGCGAGGGCUGUGACCGGGGCUAUAUGUGGCACAGCUGCCUGCCUGGUGACCGUUCCACAGCAUUACUUCUCUGUUUCCGAAAAGACUCCCAGCGACAAUGCUCAGGCAUUUGGUUACACACACAGGCACAGUGGAAUCGGCACCCCUGCUUCAGGGGCAGAGCUCAGAGUCCCCAGAAGUUUCAAGCCCUGGAACUCUACUGAGGCAGCAGCUCCAGCACAGCACAAGGCUGAGCCCAAAGAGCAUGAAGGGGCUAAGGAGCCAAACCAGUGAGCUAGAGGAAACCGAGCGUUGGCUCUGGGGUGCCAAGUAUCAGCCAGAGCUCACAUUCUCAUUAUAUGGCUCAAGUCAUCCUUGGUUUGUGCCGGCUUCCACUAACCCAUCCCAGGCUGCUGGCCCCCAGCAGUGGAAAGUCUCUGCCAGCCUGUGGUGGCACAAAAUGGUCACAACUUCCCCUCCACUAGGAGCCCCCCCAGACAGCAGGAGAACCCCCAAAGUGGGUGACACUGGCUGGGAAAUCAUGUCCAGUAAGCGCACCCUGCUCCAGCCUCUGUUGCUGUGGCUCCUGGGAAGUACCCGGCAGAAACUAAAGCAGCCUUCACUUAGAAAAGAUACUAAACGCCCCUUAUACCUCCCUUCUGAGCAGGGAUGAAACUGGCCCAUUCUCUGUAGCUCAUAUCUCUUGCAUAGUUCAGAGAUAAAGGUCCCCUGACCAGUAUGAACUGAGUCCGAACAUGGUUUUCUCCAGCUCUAACUUCUGUGGUUCUGUGAACUCUGAGUCAGCCCAGCUCCAUUAAACUCUUUCACUGAGCUAACUGGCAGCUGCCUAGGUUUUGCGUCACAGCCCAAAGAGUUGCUUUUAAUGCCGUUGUUUUGUAUUUCAGGAUCUAGACUAUAUGGGUCUAGCAAAAGCAUCUCAGCAUCCCUUUAAACAUGGAGGGCAAAGUUGUCCCAUUGCACAUGCAGGUGGUCCUGCUCUCUGGGGACAGAGAGUGGGGGAAGGGACAGGUGUAUCAGAUGGGCUAUUGUGGAAGAGGAAAUUCAUUUUCCCCAUUCUGGAGAAGACAGGGUGAGAAGGGGGAUUGUCUUAGGCCUCUGUCUCUGUGGCACAUGGCUUACCCUGCCAAGGUGCCUCAAGGCUGAGCUGGAGAGAUGAGGGAGUUCAGCAUCUAUGUCCCCUUCAACCUGUGACCUCUCUACUUUGAUGCUCAGCAAAGGCCAAUAGUGCUGGAGAGACCCAUCAGACUCCUUCCAUGCAGGCCACUGAACAGCCAAUGUUUGGUCACUAUUCAUGUUUGGGUGUUGUCCCCGUCCGCAUAGCCAUCAAACUGCCAGUGUAUAUCUACCUGAAUGACAUUUUUAAAGGCCCAUUAUUAACGAACCACGUGCACUGGCUUAGUCAGGAGAGGAAGCUGAAGGCAGCUACUUGGCAUCGUACUCACCACCUG